GUCCAUGUGUUUAUGGAUGACUUCUGAAAGAAAAAUAGCAAUGUUUGACAUAAGGCCAAGAAAUAGACCAAACUUCCUCAGAACGGAAUGUGAUUUUAGCAAGCUUCCAAAAUUCCAGUUGCUCACUGAAGCUUAUUGAAGAUAGUCAGACCUCGUGGGAUGGAAAUAGAGGCUGAACAGCACACAGAGAUGCAGAGCCAUCCUGUGAAUAUUUUUGUCUAAGCUGGGGUAAGUCCUUUUCUCAAGGUCCUGACCAGGUCCUUAGGAAUAUGCUGAGCUUAAAACCCUUCCCUUUAAGUUUUUGAAUCUCAAAGAAAAGUGUCCUUUGGAAAUGUUGGAUGAAAGUUGAACAUCGGUAGGUGAAACUCUUUGAGCACUUUGCAAACUACUGCAGCCAGACAGCUCUUUGCAUGAAUUCUGAACUGAAGAAUGUCAUUCAAAUUCUUCUGGGCCCAUUUUCUACCACUCCAAAAGGAAAUGCCCAGAGGAAGGGAAGACUUGGGAAAACAGAAAUAUUAGGAGGAAGCUGCGAUUUCCAAAUGGCAAGACAGCCCCACCAUCAAUACUUGAAGUUGGUAAGAUAAAUGACGCACUGGAGAGAAUGAGGAUUUGAGGAGUUUAUUGCUUAUAUUUGCACUGAAGAGACCAGAGUCACAUAAAUGGAAAAGAGAAUAAUGCAAGACUUGUGGAUGUUGGAUUCAUAAAAAAGAAAGCAAAUGAAAGCUGGAGAUGCCUAAAAAAGACUUCUUAUAUGCCAUGAGAGAUAAGGGCUCCCCUUCUGACAUUAGCAUCUAUUAUCUUCCUGGCUGAAUUCUUCCCUAAAGGGCGCUCGGCAUCCCUAGGUGGUUGCCAGUGUCAAGGCAACCUCACCAACUGUGAAGGCAUCCUGAGCUCCUGGAACAGGCAGAAAAGAAACCUGGCAGGAAGAUUUGGAGGUGGCUGCAAGCUGGCCUGACUUCUGCAGUGAAACAAGUCCCAGGAGCUGGAGAUACACCAUGCUGAGCUCCUGUUUCCUUGGUAAGAGGGUCGGUCUCCAAGCAGGCAAGGCUGUUCACAGCCCAAGGGCUUCUUUGUGUUGGCUAAGGGGGGCAUCGAUGUCUUGGAAAGAAUUAGAGCAUUCUGUAACGAGAAUCACUGGCCCCGAAUCCCCAGAAUGAGAGGUAUACAUGUUAACACCCUUGCAGAGCAAGAUGCUUGAAUACACUUGGGCACAAAGGGUCUGGAAGAUAGACAAUGGCUUCUGUGUUCUCAGGAAUAAGGAUUAGUGAUUUGUCCUUGUACCUAGGUAAGAGGAGGGGGAUUUCCUGGCCUAGGACACAUCUUUCAGGUUGGAGUUGUAAUGACAGUGAUAAUUUUCAACUGUGGAUUAUUGUAAGCUGUUCCAAGCAAGCAUGGAUGACUCCAUUUCAUGGACUGCAGAAAUUCUGUGCCUGUCCUGUCCAGUGAUUGAGUUAUAUCUGGUGCAUGGUAUGGACAAAACAUCUGUAAAAGAAACAGCCCGUAGUAUACAAUAAGAAGGUAAAGAUGUCAAAUAUUUUUAUUUUUUAUUUUUCAGGUAACAAAAAUAUUUUUUUUCCAAACAAAAUCUCCCUUGGAAAUUCACUAUACUAUAUGUAAGAGAUAAAAACAGAAUUAAGCUGAUCCACUGAUUCCUUAAACUGUAGGUGUGGGGAGCUGGGGGGCUGGGAUAUUGGAACUGGGGUCAUCAGCUCUUCCUGGUUUGCCCAGGACUUUACCCAAAAGUCCCAGGAUCCCCCUCAGUCCCAGGCAAAUUAGAACAGUAAGUCACCCUCGUGGAAACUCUGCUUUCUGGACCAGUCUUCUGUGGCUUCCCAUGGGAGCCUUUUGGGGCUCCAGGAAGCAAAGUGACAGUAGGAAGCAGGGUCUCUGUUGUUCAUUUCUUUAUUAUCUAUGCCAAGUUCUGUACUUUUCUUCCAGAAGGUACUUGAUAAAAUGUUGCCUGAAUUGAAAUAACAUAGGACUCCAAAACAUACUACUAUCACCAGCAUAGAGGAAAUGCCAGGAAGAUAAGGUGGGAGAAGGGAGGGUGCAUAUCAGCCUUCUAGAAUGUUCUGUUUCUAGGCAAGUUGCUUCAUGGGCAUUACUUCAGGACACCAUGAGGCAGGAUUCAGAGCUAGAACAGUGAGCUUGGAGUGGGAGCUGGAGUGAUAAUGCAGGUAUAUCUGUCUCUAGCACCCUUGACCUUGCAGGGGCAGUGCUGGGAUUCUUGUUUUGCUCAGCGGCACUGAGUUUGUUUAAAGUCAGAUGGCUGCAGUUUGCCUUCCAGCUGAUUUGCUUUAUGUGUGCAGAAGUAAUUACUGAAAUUGCUGCUGAUAACAAAUACAUACGUGCACCUCAAUUGCCUUUGCCCCUCCAAUUUGGUGAAGAAUGAACAGGGUUGGGGGAUUUACCAAUGUGGUGGGAAAUACAGUUCUUCCAGGGAAACCCAACUAGAGUGGCUGUUGGGUUUUUGUUUUGACCAACUAGAUCAAAGGAAACCAAGCAAGACAGGAGGCCUCUUGACACGGCAUAGUGCCAGUUAAGAACAUUUAGAAAUCCUUUCAGAAAUAUCCAGUGAAACUGGUUCCAAGUCCCCUUAAACAAACAUUCAGUGUUCCAAGCUAAAGUGGGAUCCUGCAGGUUCAGAGCUUGGGCUCAACAGACUGUAGACUUGCUGGGUUUGAAUCCUGGCUACGUACUGCCUGUGUGACCUUGGACAGGCUGCUUAACCUCUGUGCCUCAGUUUCAUCCUCUGUAAAAUAGGAAUCAUAACAGUAUCUGCCUUUUAGAGUCAUUAUGAGGCAGAAGCAGGAUGAAGCUGUAUUGUACCUACAAAAAUGCCCGGCAUAUAUGUAGGUGCUUAUAAAUGUGGAUUGUCAUUUCACCAAAUGAAUGUCUGUGUAUGGGAUGUAUUUGUAAUAGUUUCCCAGGACUGCUGUAAUACAGUACCUCAGGCUGGGUGGCUGAAACAAGAGAAAUUAUUGUCCCACAGUUCUGGAGGCUAGAAGUCCAAGAUCAAGGUAUCACACAAGUUGUUUCCAUCCUGAGGCUAUGAGAGAAUAUGUCCUGUGCCUGUCGCCUUGCUUCUGGUGGUUGCCUGGCAAUCUUUGGUGCUCCUUGGCUUGGAGGUGUAUCACCCUGAUCUGUUCAUUCACCUUCACAUGGCAUUACCUUGUGUGCCUGUCUGAGUCCACAGUUCCCCUUAAGGACACCAGUCAUAUCGGAUUGGGCCCACCGACUCCAAUGCAACCUCGUCUUUUU